UAUGGCUAUAUCAUGCUGACACACCAGUUCCUGUAUGAUCAGUAAAGUUAACCAAUAUCAAGCCUAGUCACUACCUAGAUGGGUGACCACUUGGGAAUACCAAGUGCUGUAGG